rnacentral:rRNA from 1 species
GGGGAAUAUUGGACAAUGGGGGAAACCCUGAUCCAGCAAUGCCGCGUGUGUGAAGAAGGCCUUCGGGUUGUAAAGCACUUUCAAUAGGGAGGAAAAGCUAUGCGUUAAUAGCGUAUAGCCGUGACGUUACCUAUAGAAGAAGCACCGGCUAACUCCGUGCCAGCAGCCGCGGUAAUACGGAGGGUGCAAGCGUUAAUCGGAAUUACUGGGCGUAAAGCGCGCGUAGGCGGUUUGCUAAGUCAGAUGUGAAAUCCCCGGGCUCAACCUGGGAAUGGCAUUUGAGACUGGUAGGCUAGAAUGUGGUAGAGGUGAGUGGAAUUCCAGGUGUAGCGGUGAAAUGCGUAGAGAUCUGGAGGAACAUCAGUGGCGAAGGCGACUCACUGGGCCAUUAUUGACGCUGAGGUGCGAAAGCGUGGGUAGCAAACAGG